rnacentral:tRNA from 1 species
UUAUGGUGGCUCAGUGGUAGAGUGCUCACCUUGCACAUGCGAGGCCCUGGGUUCAAUCCUCAGCACUACAUAAA